rnacentral:tmRNA from 1 species
GGGCUUGUAAUGGUUUCGACGGGAUUUCUGAAAUAAUGUAAGCAUGUCGUGGUUGUGCACGUUAAAACACCGAGGUUUUUAAAUAAACGCAAACACAAAUUACGCUUUCUGCUAGGCUUUAAUUAGUAGACCCUCGCUUUAGAGGUUUCAUCUUUUAUAACACUUGUCUACGUGAGUUAUAAGGGAUAAGAGAGUAGACUUGGAUGAAAAUGUUAGCUUCGGCAUUGGAUUCGAGAUAUAGAGCUAGUAUAUUGUAAGUGUUGUUUAUUUUCUUAUGAUAUAUGAGAUAAAAUGAAUAAACUAAACAUGUAGAAAGCAGAGUGAAUGGGGUUUCGGACGCGGCUUCGAUUGCCGCCAAGUCCACCA